rnacentral:rRNA from 1 species
CCUACGGGAGGCAGCAGUGGGGAAUUUUGGACAAUGGGCGCAAGCCUGAUCCAGCCAUGCCGCGUGAGUGAAGAAGGCCUUCGGGUUGUAAAGCUCUUUCAGCCGGAACGAAAUCGUCCGGGCUAAUACCCCGGAUGGAUGACGGUACCGGAAGAAGAAGCACCGGCUAACUACGUGCCAGCAGCCGCGGUAAU